ACACUAGACGCAUGUCUAGAGUUUGAAAGAUGGUUCUGCUAUCACUCUUGGAUGGACCUGCGGUGCAUUAGCUAGUUGGUAAGGUAACGGCUUACCAAGGCAAUGAUGCAUAGCCGAGUUGAGAGACUGAUCGGCCACAUUGGGACUGAGACACGGCCCAAACUCCUACGGGAGGCAGCAGUAGGGAAUCUUCCACAAUGGACGAAAGUCUGAUGGAGCAACGCCGCGUGAGUGAAGAAGGGUUUCGGCUCGUAAAGCUCUGUUGGUAGUGAAGAAAGAUAGAGGUAGUAACUGGCCUUUAUUUGACGGUAAUUACUUAGAAAGUCACGGCUAACUACGUGCCAGCAGCCGCGGUAAUACGUAGGUGGCAAGCGUUGUCCGGAUUUAUUGGGCGUAAAGCGAGUGCAGGCGGUUCAAUAAGUCUGAUGUGAAAGCCUUCGGCUCAACCGGAGAAUUGCAUCAGAAACUGUUGAACUUGAGUGCAGAAGAGGAGAGUGGAACUCCAUGUGUAGCGGUGGAAUGCGUAGAUAUAUGGAAGAACACCAGUGGCGAAAGCGGCUCUCUGGUC
rnacentral:rRNA from 1 species